rnacentral:lncRNA from 1 species
CACUCCAGUAUUCUUGCCUGGAGAAUCCCAGGGACGGGAGAGCCUGGUGAGCUGCCAUCUGUAGGGUCACACAGAGUCAGACACGACUGAAGCAACUUAGCAGCAGCAGCAUUGGUUUCUGGGUGUUCCCCUAGGGUCAUUUGUGUCCUAAGAUUUUAGGUCAAAAAAGAUAGACUAGCAUAUUUUUCAGAAGUAGUGUUGACAUGAACACUAACUUUUUGGUGGAAAUAGAGUACACACCAAUGAAUGAACCAACCCAGAUGACACUAUGAUUUUUCUAAGUGUAUCAACAUUUUACUCUUUGAAAAAAUACUGGGAGAUCAGUUUUUCCUGUUUUUCAUUUUGUUUUUUUGUUUUGCAUUUAUAAUCUUUGUAUAUGGACUUACACCAGAUACAGAAAUAGGGGAGCAGAAUAGUGGAGAGGGCAUUUACAAAUAUACUAACUUGUUUUUACUGUUGUUAUCAAUAACAUUAUUAUUUUCACAAAGCAUUCUCUAAUAGGAAUAGGAGAUGACCCUAAAUGGACUUUGAAAGUUUGUUCAGUCUGAACUACCUUCAAGUAGAAAUGUUUUUGUUCACCUUCCGAAGUAGCCCUUAGAGGGAAUAGUGGGAGUAUUUUACGAAGGCUGAACUAAAUUCUCAGGUUCACCUAGCUCUAGUUAAAAGUUUGAAGUGUCUUGGUUUGAUGUCUUUUUGGCUGAUCUGUUUCAUGGUAUCAUUUUUUAGAAGACUUUCUCGCCAAAAGUAGAAAAAGGAAAAAUAGUAACAGAAGGAAACUACUUCAAAAAGUAGUGUUGGAAGUCUGUUCCUCUUCAGAUGACACCAGUGCUUAGAACUUUUGACUCAAAGCUCUUCAUUUCCUACAAAUACUUUUUUUCCACUGUUCCAAAGGUGGAAGAAGCUCUGAAUGGCAAAAAUUCUGUGCUUUUUUAAAACCUGCUGGAUAACUUCUCAUCUCUAAGAGUACUGAAGUUUUGUCAUACCAGACUGUGUAUAACAAAUCACAAAACAUAUGCAUAAAGAAAUCUAGACUCUUCUAAUUGUGCCAAUCCAUGGGUAAAAAACUUACUUCUGGAGCCACACAGCUGUUGAAAUCAGUCAUAUUUACAAUUUUUACAAAUGAGUUUAUUUUAAUAAAAACAAGUUACUCUGUGAACAUGAUCUCUAAACAGAUUUAUGUGGGUUGGCACAAUCUGCUAUGCUAAACAUAUAUUCAUAUUGCUUAGGUCUGCAACCAGUUUUUUCUUUUUUGAGUGAUGAUAACAGUCUUGCUUUGUACAAGGGUACCAAAUAAUUGGCAGCAAUUCAGCUAAGGACACUGUUCUCAGCAUUGAGCUAUUGAAAUUGUUUUCCUGGACAGAACUGCCCUCUGGGCAUGGCCCUAAAUUGGGAGAACUCUGGGCUGCUGGCACUGGGCAGUGAACCAGGCAGACAGCUUAUAGAGAGAAGAAAGCGACUAUAAAUUGAUGCUAAAGAAGAGGGGGAGGGGGAGGAGGAGUGGGAGAAAAGAGAGAAGGCAGAAAAAGGGAGGAAGAGAGAGAGGGAAAGAGGGAGAGAAAGGUAAAAUUUAUAUUCAUAAAUUCAUACCCUUGAAGGGGUCUCUUGAUGUAUUUCUCCUUGAUCUUUCUGACUGCUCACCGUGCUUGAUGUUUUUAUCCUCAGCGUUUUUUGCUUAGUUACUAAACUGUAAUCUCCUUGAAGACAGAAACGUUGCCUGACUCAGCUUUUCAGCUUCCACAGUGCCUGGCAUACACUGGUACUCAAAAACCUAGUUGUUAAAUGCUCAACAAAAGAUGAAUUUCCCUAUCUGAAGCAUUUCAUUUCCUCAGAUAAAUCCUAAGCGUGUCUCGGGGGUCACAGUACUGCCCCCUAGGGGACGUAUUGAAAUUUUGUGGGGGCAUGUUUUGUAUUGUAGCUCUCAUGCUGGUGCCAGGUUUUCCCACAGUGAAAAACAUUUUCUGAUUUUUAUUGAAACUAGUAUAAUAUUUAAAAAUACAUUCCUUUUGCUUAUUUCAUCUUUAUAUUAUUAGACCAUUACAGUGGUUUCUUGUACAUAGUUUACUUGUCAAUAAAUUGAAUUCCAGAAGAGUAAUGUUAAAUUUUUGUUUUGUUGCAUACAGGGUGUGGACUAUGGCUGAUUGAAUGCCUACUUUUACAAGAUUAAGCUUUGCUUGCUUCUGCUUCCACAAGUUCUGGGGUUCUAAGACGAACCAUAUAAGUAAAAGGAAGCGGGUGUACAUUGAUUUCAACCAUCAAGCUUUCGCUUUAAGCAGCUGCAUGUUUUGGGAUUAAUGUGGCUCAGCGGAGCGCUGCUGUCAAAGCACAGAGGGUCUAGGACUGGGG